AGGGAAACCGAGUCUUAACCGGGCGUUAAGUUGCAGGGUAUAGACCCGAAACCCGGUGAUCUAGCCAUGGGCAGGUUGAAGGUUGGGUAACACUAACUGGAGGACCGAACCGACUAAUGUUGAAAAAUUAGCGGAUGACCUGUGGCUGGGGGUGAAAGGCCAAUCAAACCGGGAGAUAGCUGGUUCUCCCCGAAAGCUAUUUAGGUAGCGCCUCGUGAAUUCAUCUCCGGGGGUAGAGC
rnacentral:rRNA from 1 species